rnacentral:rRNA from 1 species
UACGUAGGGGGCUAGCGUUGUCCGGAAUCAUUGGGCGUAAAGAGCGUGUAGGCGGCCCGGUAAGUCCGCUGUGAAAGUCGGGGGCUCAACCCUCGAAUGCCGGUGGAUACUGUCGGGCUAGAGUGCGGAAGAGGCGAGUGGAAUUCCUGGUGUAGCGGUGAAAUGCGCAGAUAUCAGGAGGAACACCAAUUGCGAAGGCAGCUCGCUGGGACGUAACUGACGCUGAGGCGCGAAAGCUAGGGGAGCAAACAGG